rnacentral:rRNA from 1 species
GACGAACGCUGGCGGCGUGCUUAACACAUGCAAGUCGAACGGAAAGGCCCUGCUUUUGUGGGGUGCUCGAGUGGCGAACGGGUGAGUAACACGUGAGUAACCUGCCCUUGACUUUGGGAUAACUUCAGGAAACUGGGGCUAAUACCGGAUAGGAGCUCCUGCUGCAUGGUGGGGGUUGGAAAGUUUCGGCGGUUGGGGAUGGACUCGCGGCUUAUCAGCUUGUUGGUGGGGUAGUGGCUUACCAAGGCUUUGACGGGUAGCCGGCCUGGGAGGGUGACCGGCCACAUUGGGACUGAGGUACGGCCCAGACUCCUACGGGAGGCAGCAGUGGGGAAUAUUGCACAAUGGGCGGAAGUCUGAUGCAGCAACGCCGCGUGCGGGAUGACGGCCUUCGGGUUGUAAACCGCUUUCGCCUGUGACGAAGCGUGAGUGACGGUAAUGGGUAAAGAAGCACCGGCUAACUACGUG